AUCCCACGGUUGUCGCUCGAUAAUCUGGCGGAGGUUGGCAAGUGCAAUGAGCUGCGGGAGGGACUGAAAGAAGUCUGUUCUUGGGCAGUGGGUCAUUGGAUCAAUGCCCAUCUUGAUCAGUUUCUUCCUGAGAUUAGCCAAAACACUUGCUUUGGGGAUUAUGAAAUGUCAGCUAGGUUCAGGUAUUACUUGUUGCCAAGGAUGGAAUGCAGCUGGAGGAUAGUUUGCUCUUCCUCACGCGAGAAGUUCCCUCUCUUGAUGUCUGGUUUCAGAUAGUUGGUCCAUCUUAGCCUGCAGCUCUUACCACAUCUGUUCAAGCCUGCAAAAACAAUAUACGGAAGUAAGACUUCUAUACAAGAAACUGAAUACAUGUUCUGUGGAAGACAUGCAUGAGAGAGGUGUAAGCACCAGCAAGUUCAGGAGUCCAGGGGCCCUUCUUGAGGCCAUUCUCAUCACAACAAGGAGGCCUCCCCAUUGAUGGAUAAGAAGUAGGACGACAAUCCUAGUAGGAGAGGGCAGAUGAGUUGCCUCUACUUGGUCCCUGAGCUUUUUCUCAGGUCACUGGUCACCAGAACAUGGGUUAUAUAUAGUGGUGUUUUGAACCAUAUUAAGGAACAGAACCACGAUACAUUUUUUUUGGAUGAGAAAAGACUAAUCUGCCCUCGUUUCUGGUGCAUGCAAUUGCAUGUCCUUGGUCCUGGAUAUAGUUUUUUAAGAAGGGUGCUUUGGGUGAUAAGAGGGCUAUCAUAACACUUGUGUCUUCGUAUUGAUUCCUGGUUAGACACUUUUAACUUAGGCAGAAAGAUGGUAUGGAAGGUAUGAAAUGACAAAGCAGAGGUUAGAAGGAAAUGUGAAGUAUCCAUGAUCAAGG